rnacentral:lncRNA from 1 species
UUCCUGCCUAGAGUGUCAGAGCUGCAGGGGGCCCUCAGCAUGUCCCAUCAAGACUCAGAGGGGUCUGUCCCUUGUUACAUGACUCUGACCUCAGCAAACUAUCUUUCAGGCCAAUCCCAGUAUUUGAUCAUGCUGACUUUGUCACGUAAUCAAUCCCCUUCCAGCUAGCUAUUGGGCUAAAGGUGACUGGGCCAAAGUACGAUCUGUUCUCAACUCAGCAAGCUGCUCUCGGGAGUGUGUGGGGGAGGUUGCUGAAAAGGGGAGCAGGAGGUUCGUAUAACUUCGUGGGGAGAGAGAAACAACAAACAAGGAGCCGAGCCGACAUUCCCUGUGCCACAGCCAAAGAGUCUGGUUCGCUCACUGUGCAAAGUUUCAAGGACAGAGGAACAAGCUCAAAGUAACAAAAAAAGACCCGUUUGGGUAGAAAUACGAUUUGCCUGCGUGUUUCCUGGAGCAGAUUCGGGACCCCCUGUCGUGCUUUGUCACAGGACGAAUCAGCUCCAUCUCAUUGCUGGAUGUCUGACUGGUGAAGAGUUUGGACCCCAACAAGUCAGAAGAGAUUCAAAACCGCUUGGUGUUACGUGGCUUUUAGCGCAGCGACAGGCUGAUGGUGCUUCGGAGAUGCGGCUCCCACGCCUGUCUGGCUCUGGACACUGAAUACAAGUGGGGCAGUGGCUUCCUCAGGGUUUGUCUUCUUUGGGGCAGCAGGUGUGGCUGGCCCAGGUCUCAAGCAGGCAGCUAGUAGUUGGCCGUCAGCCUAGCCAUCAGCCUAGCCUGGAGGAGUCCUUUCCACAGCACUCCUAGCCAAGCCCUUUCCCAUGAUGUCACGGAUCUGUCACCUUGGCUCUAAAUUGGGGUGUGGGGGGGCUCACGUCUCAGAGGAAGUCUGGGAAGAGGACUGGGUGGAGGGUCACUUCAGGCCAGGCAAGGAGAGGCUGGCACCAAUAUGCACUGCUGGAGUUACCCAAAGAGACAGCCACUCAGAUAAAACUGAAAGAUGAUAAGUUAAAGAGAAACCAGAGCUCCCGAGAAGCCCGAGUGUUCCCUCAGUGGGAGCAAAACUCCCUGGACGCUGGCCACGUGGGCCAACCUCAUCCCCUGUGCCCGGAUCAGAGCAAACACCAAGCUUAUGGCUGGAGGCGGGGAGGCCCGUUAAAACCCCAGAUCGGAGCCUACGCACACCAUGACCUUACUUCUCCCAGGAAGUGAGACUUUCUGAGGAGCAGGUGUCACGAAUCAGGUCUUAGGACAAACAUUAAAGAGAACAAAAACCAAUGUGCGUGGAUGAGGUUAUAAAAGUGAUACGUCCCAAGCAGGGACUGUGGUCCCCAUAGCCUUUCCAUG